AACCCAAGUAAACAGUGACCAAAGUUACAAAAAAAUACUGGCAAUUGGGUAGUCUCAUUUCCAUUCCUAGUAGAGAGAUGAUCAUGUAACAAAAAGUAACAUUACCUACAUGCUUUUUAGUAGACUCAACAGGCAGCAAAGUGAUGAAUUGGCAGGGCCUUUCAACAGAACAAGGUUGAACUGCAUUAGAAUGAUUUGUGAUGCUGCUAGUUGUGUUGUACUUUCUGUAACUGUUGACAAACAUAGGGCUUCAUUUUCCACAGAUGUCAAUCUGGAGCUUUUAACCAGCACCAAAUUUGCCAACUAUUAUAUCAAAGAGUAAAAGGAGUUAAGAUUUUUCAAAGAUUGGAAUAAAUACUUAGUGUUCUCCAGAAUUUAAUGAAGGCCCACAGAAACAGUAACACAAAUUUAUAAAAGUUGACCAUUUAUAAUCUUGUGUGUAUCAAGUAACAGAAGCAUUACAACUCAGGGCCUAGGUUUAUGUGUCCUCAUAUUAAUAUUUACAAUAAAAUCACAUUUAGUUGUAAAACAAUGUAUACAGAAAGGUUAAGGCAAAGAAAUAAUGAAAACAUUCUAUAAGACUUUAAUCCACUUUAUCUCUUCCCACCCAUUCACCAAAAGAGGUUAUUUAUCUGUAACUGGAGGGUCUUCAAGACAUGUGGUCCCUAUCUAUACUCUGGGGCUGGGGAAUUCAAAAGUAGCGUACUUUGAUCUGCGAACAUGCCCUGACUCAGCUCAUGCCUCCGACUGAGGGGAUAAAGGGCAGGGCGAACCAAUCGCUUUUCCAGUUCCUUCUCUACUGUGAAUCAGAUAAGAUCCAAAGCAGAGGGGAAGGAGGGUAAGUAGUGGAAUACAGAUACACAUCUCAAAGAACCUCCAGUUACAGGUAAAAAAAUAACGUUCAUCGAACAUCAAGGGAGUGGAGUCUUCAUUCUUCUGCAGAAGAAUGUGGUUUCAGGAAGAACACAGGUGAAGUCGAAACUGCAGACACUAAGGGUUCUGACCUGGACCAUGAGGUGACGAGAAGGAACUGGAGAAGCGAACAGUCUGCCUUUCCCUUUACCCCUCCAUCGGAGGCACGAGGUGAGCCAGGCUCACACGUAGAACAACCAUCACUACUUUCAAAAUUUCUGGCUCCAGGCUGAUGCUGCACAUGCAUAACCCACAGUGGAAUAUAAUAGGGACAAUCACUUGAAAAAGAACCUGAAGUUAUUUACAACUUUUUUACAUGAAGGUUCAAAAUAACAGCAUUUACUAAUAUAAUUUGUGUCUUAUCUUUUCUUCUUCAUGACCUGAGGUUGCUAAAUUCAUUUUUUGUGUAAUCUAUAGCAGGGGCACUUUAACAGGGUAGUUCACCCCUUGAAUUAAAUCAGGCCCAGUUCUCCUGUUUCAGUCCAAGCGUGUCCUCGUUUGAUAAUAUGAGGAGGGUGGGGUUGCCUCGGGAGUUGUUAUAAAUAAAAGACAGACCAAAGCCAAAAGGGUGUUCAGAACCCUGAGUCCAGAGAGAGCUUAGAGGAAGAGCAGAGCUGGGUUGACAGCUUCAGGAAGGGGGAUGCCCCUGAAGGAAGGGGUAGUGAGAUGGCCCAGUUGAGCAGUGAAGUCAAAUCAGGCUAGUGAAAGCAGAAGGCAAGAAAGCAGAACGGGGGAGGGGGAAUUACCUAUAAACUUCCCCAGGCUAGAGAGCCCUGGCCAGAAAGGGCUAGAGAGAGUUGAAGGCUGAAAGCAGCAGAUGGAGAUGCCUGCCAGAGAGCUGAAGCCAAAGGGCCAAAGAGGGUUGCAGGCCAGGGCCCACUGAUGUCUCUAGACAAGAGCUAGAAUUGUAUCUCGGCUUGGGUAACGUGGUCCCUGAACAGUGGAGCUUGGCGAUGGAUGCUCGAGCUGUACAAGAGAGCUGCAGACUGUUGUGAAAGGUGCUGGAGUUGUACUUGGAUUGUCGAUGAACUGCUGGGGACUGUUGACGGUGAUGUACUUUUGGAUUGUGCUGGGGGUUCUGGACUGUGGUUGUGGGACUUUUAUAAUAAAUUAACCCUGCAAAGGUCGACUUAUAUACUAAGCUGUACUGAGUUACUGGGAACCGCUGAAGGGGAAACUGAGGCAGGCACACUGGGCAUGCCACAGCCUGACAUAGAAGGGCAACCCAGGUGGAACCCCUCUAUCACAUAUGGUGGAAAAAUGUGGACAGGAGAUCAGCCCCUGAAAAGCGGUGACACCAGAAGAGGGAAAACGAAGCAAGAGCUGCUUGCAGGGUUAUCCUGAAAUCAUUAGGGAGUGCAUUGGUGGUGGCCGUCCUGACAGCCACCUAGAACCCUAGUUAGGUGCUUAUGUACAAAUCUAAAGGAAAUGUAUUCUAUAACAUGGAAGAAAUUGACAAAUAUUUACUGGUAGUUUGGGCCAAAGAUAC